UGGAGAUGGCAUCACCUGUCCUUGAGGUGAAAUGGACUCAGAGAGCUAUUGUUCCACGGAGGAGGCUGAAGCUCCAGUCAGUGAGACCAAAAGAAGAGGUUCUGGAGAUUGAGAGACCUGACCUGUUGAGCUGCAAAGAUAAGACUGAGCACACUCUGUGCCUACCUUCUUACAUAUGGGAUAUUCAACUGCUCUAGAGAUACCAGGAUCCUACCUCCUCCUCAUUCCAAUCGCCCUCAGAUUCACUUCUACUGUGAUGGCUGCAAAUACGAACCC